AGUAGGAUUGCUGGGUCAUAUGGUAAUUCUAUUUUUGUUUUUUGAGGAACUGCCACACUGCUUUCCACAACAGCUGUACCAUUUUGCAUUCCCACCAGCAAU
rnacentral:pre_miRNA from 1 species